CCUCCCCUGCUCCCUGCCUGCUGAUGCGGCCUAGCCAGCUGCCUUGGGUCCCCAUCCCCAAGUCCUGAGCUGCUCCGCAGCUGUGCUGUCCCUGCCAGGAAGGACUGGACACUUGCACGUGGAUGACUCUGGGUAAAUGUCUUAUACCCUUGUUCUGCAAGUUCUCCUGUUUGUAAAGUGGCAAUGACACUACUUGUUACAAACUACAUUCCUACUGAUGUUGUAAGGACUGAAACUAAUGUAUUUCAAGUUCAGUUUGGUCUACUUUAGACUUAAAAUUCCUUCACAACAGACCAAGGAAAAGACUAAGCAGAGAUGUGGAAGAUCAGUCAAGUUCUAAUUCUGAUUUCUACAGAUGUAUAAAAGCUCCCUAACCUGGGUAUGACUACUGGUAGGCUGCCCAAGUUCCUAUGGAUGACCUUACAGCCAUGCUCCAGGGAGACUGCAUGAACUGAACUCAGUGG